rnacentral:misc_RNA from 1 species
AAGUCGUAACAAGGUUUCCGUAGGUGAACCUGCGGAAGGAUCAUUACAAAAAGGCCCAAAUAGUAUGCUUGGUGCAUAUCAACUGCUAUUUGAACCUUUAUUCUACCUUGAUUUUUUUGCGUACUCCUGUUUCCUUGGUAGGCUUGCCUGCCAGCUGGACAAAUCUAUAACCCUUUUAAUAUUUAAUCAGCGUCUGAGUAAAUGUAAUAAUUACAACUUUCAACAACGGAUCUCUUGGUUCUG